rnacentral:rRNA from 1 species
AUUGAACGCUGGCGGUAUGCCUUACACAUGCAAGUCGAACGGCAGCGGACCUUCGGGUGCCGGCGAGUGGCGAACGGGUGAGUAAUGCAUCGGAACGUACCUUUCAGUGGGGGAUAACGUAGCGAAAGUCACGCUAAUACCGCAUAUUCUGUGAGCAGGAAAGCAGGGGAUCGCAAGACCUUGCGCUGAUUGAGCGGCCGAUGUCGGAUUAGCUAGUUGGUGAGGUAAAGGCUCACCAAGGCGACGAUCUGUAGCGGGUCUGAGAGGAUGAUCCGCCACACUGGAACUGAGACACGGUCCAGACUUCUACGGGAGGCAGCAGUGGGGAAUUUUGGACAAUGGGGGCAACCCUGAUCCAACCAUGCCGCGUGAGUGAAGAAGGCCUUCGGGUUGUAAAGCUCUUUCGGCCGGGAAGAAAUCGCACGGGCUAAUACCCUGUGUGGAUGACGGUACCGGAAUAAGAAGCACCGGCUAACUACGUGCCAGCAGCCGCCGUAACAC